UCUUAGAAACAUCAAGUUCAUAACCGAAAAUGGAAUAAAUUACGAAGUUGAAAUUACUAUUCAUUCCAAUAGUAACUUGAGCCUUUCAUUUACGAAAGUGAAUAGUCAAAUUUCAUUUUCUAUUUUGUUACAAGUACCCCAGUAUUUUCUUAUGUCCAUUGGGGAAAUUAUGUUUUCCGUUACAGGAGCAUCGUAUUUCUAUUGUCAGGCACCAAAGUCUAUGAAAUCUGUAAUUCAAGCGUUAUGGAUGCUGACACCUACGUGUGGAAAUUUG